GCACUGCUGACGAGUCCCAGACAGGACAAAACAGCUGUUCAGUGC
rnacentral:hammerhead_ribozyme from 1 species